rnacentral:rRNA from 1 species
AUGUGGACCUGUCUUCGUCAGCGCUAUGAGCCCUCUGGUGAUGCCUUAUACCUUUCUGUGGUUCGUCAGGAGCAUGCUCUUCAACAGGGUGACUCUACUGUUGAUGACUUUUAUGCACAGAGUUCUGCUAUCUGGCGCCAGCUUGAUUCUCUCCGCAGUGCUGGUUGUCGUACUUGCCCCUGCUGCCAGGCUGUCCAGGCCGAUUUGGAGUUUCAUCGCGUCUACGAGUUCCUGUCUCGGCUCCGUAAGGAGUUUGAGCCCCGGCGUGCUCAGUUGUUUGCUCGUGGCCGUAUUUCUCUCAUGGAGGCGCUUUCAGAGAUUCGUGCUGAGGAGACUCGCCUACGUGGUGCUGGUUUGCUGGAGGUUCCCUCUGUGCUCGCUACUCGGGCUUCUUCCACUCCACCUGCUGCACCGCCCCAUUCUCGCUCGAGUGCUCCGCCGCUCUUGCCCACUCCUUCUGGAGGCUCAGGUCGCCCCCGUCCACAUUGUGACUACUGCAACAAUGAUGGUCAUAUUGAGUCCCAGUGCUACACAAAGCGGAAACACCUGCGCAAGGCGCGAUCCUCCUCCUCAGGGACUUCGUCA